rnacentral:misc_RNA from 1 species
GAAACUUGAGUGCAUAGAAAUAAAGAGAUGUAGUCUGUUGGAGCAAAUCAUCAAUAAAGAAGGGGACAAAGAAGAAGAAGGAGCAAGGGAUAAGAUCAUAUUCCCUUCAUUACACUGCAUCAUUCUUGAGUAUUUGCCUAGUUUAAUAAGCUUUUAUUCAGGGAGUGAUGUUUUGAAAUGUACGUCACUAAAAAAAAAUUGAAAUAAUUGACUGUCCUAAGAUAGAGACGUUUGUUUCCACACUUUCAAUUAAAAAUAACCCGGGCGUGGUUGUUGGGGGAAACGAAGAGGCUUGCUAGGAAUGUUUUGAUGCUCCUACUGUACCCAUUUUCAGUGGCAAGGAUGAUGAGGAAAAUUGAAGCCAUCUUUCAUUUUUGCAAAUCUGGAACAAAGAGGCAGAUUUUCAAUGAAGUAAGAAGCCUUUAAUCCUUCGAUCCAUUCUCUUAUAUCAUAGUGGUUUCCUUUGAGCUCAUACUUGUUCUCAGCACAUACUCCAGAUAGACUUUGUUUCUGAGUUUCUGCAACUUGAUUGCUUGCUAGUAUUAAAUUUGUUAACUAUCAAUUGCUAUUUGCAGAUUAAGUGUUGCAAGCUGUUGAUAGAAAUUGUAGCAGAUGAAGAACAUGGAACAGCAGAAGAGAUUGAAUUCAACAA